rnacentral:RNase_P_RNA from 2 species
CAGGUCGGUCGGGCGAUCGCGGCCCUGCGUUGUCGGGGUCGAGGAAAGUCCGCACUCCAUAGAGCACGGCGUCGGAUAGCACCCGGGGCGGGGAACCCUCCGUGAGGAGCUAACCUGCCGGAUGAGGGCCACAGAAACAAACAGCCAACCUCACCCCGCAAGGGGUGAGGGGGUGAUGGUGAAAAGGUGGUGUAAAAGACCACCGGCAUCUGUAGUAAUACGGAUGGCCAGGUAACCCCCGCCGGGAGCAAGACCAAGCAGGGACGAAGCCAUCUGCGGAUGGCGGGAGACGGCUCGUCUUCAUACGUGCCCUCUCAUGCGAUGAGAGGGCCAGUCCCGGGUAGGUCGCAUCGAGCGGUGCGGCGACGCGCCGCCCAGAGAGAUGAUCGCACAAGCGGAGCAAUCCGCCGGACAGAAUGCGGCUUAUAGACGGACCUGAGGC